rnacentral:tRNA from 1 species
CUGGGGUUAGGGCUCAGUGGUAGAGUGCUUGCCUAGCAUGUGCAAGGCCGUGUGUUCGAUCCUCAGCACCACAUA